rnacentral:lncRNA from 1 species
UGAAAAAUACUGAAAAGAGGAGAAAACUACUGUUCCAUUACAUGUUCUGCACUAAAUUUUGAAAAUUUCCAUUCCUAAAUAGUUUCUGAUUUUCUUUAGUGUUGAAUAAUGAUUUGAAUUGGCUUCUAAAAUUGCUUGUCCAAGUUUUUCAAUACGUUUACUGUUACAAUGAUACAUACGGGUUAUUCAUUAUUUCUUGGGUUAAAUCUGGGUUGUUUUCCUGCUUCUGCUGACUGCUGAUCUUCCAUUUUCUUUGGUGUUUCUUUGCUGUCAUUAGGUACAUAUCCUUGACCUAAAGCAUGUAAGGAUUGAUUCAUGAAGUGUUUCUUUGUUGAGGAAAAAUGAAGAUUAUGUUUCUUUCAUCAGAUAUUCUUUCUUUUAGUUUCUUAGUAUGUUUUGUCGAUUUUUAUCUCAAAUAUGUUUAGAGUGAGGUUGUUCUUUGAUGGGAUUAUCAUGUAGCAUAUAUUGGGGAUUG